rnacentral:rRNA from 1 species
CCUACGGGUGGCAGCAGUCGAGAAUCAUUCACAAUGGGGGAAACCCUGAUGGUGCGACGCCGCGUGGGGGAAUGAAGGUCUUCGGAUUGUAAACCCCUGUCAUGUGGGAGCAAAUUAAAAAGAUAGUACCACAAGAGGAAUAGACGGCUAACUCUGUGCCAGCAGCCGCGGUAAUACAGAGGUCUCAAGCGUUGUUCGGAAUCACUGGGCGUAAAGGGUGCGUAGGCGGUUUCGUAAGUCGUGUGUGAAAGGCGCGGGCUCAACCCGCGGACGGCACAUGAUACUGCGAGACUUGAGUAAUGGAGGGGGAACCGGAAUUCUCGGUGUAGCAGUGAAAUGCGUAGAUAUCGAGAGGAACACUCGUGGCGAAGGCGGGUUCCUGGACAUUAACUGACGCUGAGGCACGAAGGCCAGGGGAGCGAAAGGGAUUAGAUACCCGAGUAGUC